AGUGUGGUCAACGUAAAGGUAACCUUGGGUAGGGGCAGCCGUGCUCUCAGGAGGGAACACCAUGCCACAGAUGCAACUGGCUGGGACAUGGCCCUGGUUGGGGUGGCCACUGCAGGCCUCCUUGAGGAGGAAAUGGCUGAGUGAAUAAAUGAAUGCUAAAAAUAACAACAGCAGGAAAACUGCCUGUCAAAAAAAAAAAAGAUAAAACAUUAAAAAAUCCAGAUGAAAAUAAAGUGGAAGCUCUGAGGAAGCUGCCUGCUACAGACCUCGCUGCCGGAUCAAGAAACGGACGCUGGCCUCCAAAGGGCUCAGCACAUGCCUGAGGGGAGCCUCUGGUGCAUCAGGAGGUCGGGCCCAGGUUAUUGCCUGAUGGGAGUAGAUACUCCAGCACGCUGUUUGCACAAGUGAGGCAGUUUCACCAGAUUUCCAGGCGCAGUUCCAGGCUUUCUGGUGGCAUAACUGCUGCCCAGGCGUGGGAUCUCUUACCACACAAGGAUUCCUUCUGGGCAAUGAACAAUAGCUAAUCUGAAGAUUCCAGAACUUCCUUUGCAAAGGCCAUCAGUCAAGUCAAGCUUCAAGUGAAUUCAACCAGUGCUUACUGAAAACUGACCCCAGAGUACCAGUGGCCUUCCUUCCUGCGUCUCCUUUACCCAGGCACUGAGCUGGGCAACAGGGAAUCUUCUCUGGUCCUCACAUCACCCUGCGAGGCAGCCACAGCUCUCCCUGCUGUACAGACAAAGUAAGUAGGGCUCAGUUCCAAGCUCCUGCCAGCCGGUGCUGGAAAUGGAGACUGUUUGACUCCAAAGCCAUGCUCCUCCGAUUUCACCCAAGUCCAACCACCUACCACAUGUGCAAGAACACAGAAGCCUCCUGAAAAUCCCAACUCAGCAACACUGACCAGGGCCCAUGACGUGCCAGGCACACUCACAGGCAGGAGCAACAGAGCAGUGAGCCAAAACCCCCACUCCUGAAGAAGCUCAUGUUUUGAGACGCCCACCCACUUUCCUCCUCUGCAAAUGAGGCUCCUUGUCCCCACCACAAGCCUGAACCCCAGGGCCUGGCCCAGAGCCAGGCACACAUUCUCAUUCUCACUUGCUGAGUGUUGAGUGUUGAGAUUCGUCCAGUCCAGUGCAGCAUCCUGAGCCAGAACAUAAGCAGCCACACUACAAGUUACCUUCCUGGGUGUGUGAUGACAGUUAAGAUGCUGGUAACAUCUGUAUUUUGGAUUUUCUCUGCAAGACUUAUUUGGGACAAUACAUUCUUGGAUUGGUACCUGGCUUCUUGAUAGGAUCAUGACCUCAUAGAAUCACUGGUGUGACUCAACUCUGAUGCUUAAUUGAUCCACAAAUGAUUGUCGUGGCUCUGGAGGGACCAAAUGAACGGGGAGCCUGCCUGGGCUGGUUGCACCGUUGUCCAUUUAGUUUGAAUAUAUAGAGGGCUUCCCGUGGAGGCUAGGAAUCAAGAAGAAUCCUGAUCCGGGUUCAGGGGAAUGAGGCGGGAGUGCUCUGAGGAUGCCGGAGCGGUGAUUAACACAAGGCAGGUGCUGGAGGAGGUGAGCAGUGUCCCCCGCACCAUGCAUUUCCAUGGGGCCUGGCUGAGGUCCUGCCACGGGGUGUGCUGCAUAGGGCUGGGGCACAAGGGAGAAUGAGAACUCAUCCCUGCCCUGGGGGACAUGGGACUCCCAGGUUUGAGAAAAUUCAACCACACAAAUUAAAACGAUUACCAGAAA